AAAAGAGGUCACUAGGUUUCUUGGUUACUACGGUCUACAAACCAAUCAGAUCCCACGCAAUGGUCUAUAUAAAUGACAGCAUUGUCAUAAAUUAAUUCAAUUAUUGUGAUGCCAAGGACAAACAUGUAAGGUUUUAAGUGCACAUUACAAAGAUGAAGUGUUCAAACAGUAAGUUGUUCGUCGUCAUAGGGCGUCCUUGUCAAGACAACACAAACAUCGCUGAGCCAUUAACAUCCAAGGAUUUAACAUUCUUGGACCAUUCAGGCGCGACGGAUCAGUGGAUUGCCGUCAUUAUUUUUCUUGUACUGAUGACACUUCUCUUCAUGUUGUCCAUAUUUCUAUACUUUUACUCAAGAGGUGAUGAGGCAUACCCAAUGAAUGAACAUACACGUUUCGUGCAUGUAGCAGGAGAUGUUCCCCAAACUUGUGCUCAACACGGACCUGAACGCAAGUAAACGGCGAAUACAAAAAAACGUUUGUAUUUUUUUUAUUCCAUAAAAGAUUAACUAUCCAAGACUUGCCUAGAUGGCCGAUUGGUUGGCGCGAUGGCUGCUCACUGCUAGGAGAGUGGGUUCCAGAGGUCGUGAGUUCAAGCCCCGGCAGGGUCGGAGGUGGAUCUCUAAUAGAGUGAAUUUCUGUGUGUUUUAUGUAUAUCUACAUGUAUAUCCUUCACCAUGGGCAGGUGUAUGUUAAUUAUUUUGAAAUGCAGACCUCAGAAGACAAAUCAAAGUAGAUGCAUUUAGAAUUUUAUUCUCAGGCACUCAAACAGUUUCAAAAGCCAUCGAUUAAUUCUUGAUGCUCCUAAAACUACAUGGGACGUUGACAAUAGUGAAAUGCUUAUUUUUGCAAUGUAAUAUUCUUCCUGUAAAGUAAUAUUCAUGUGAGCAGAAGCUAAGAAACACAUUAUUUCCAUUAAAAGAUUGCAUUGAUAUUGCUUAAAAACAUUUAUUUAAUAAUUAUAACAAAAUAAGAGAUCUUUGAAAUUCGAAAGACACUUUUUGAAAGCUUAUAUUUUUCAGAAAGUGUAUCUGUUGUUAUUGUUGUUAUUGUUUUUUUUUAAUUUGUAUUCUUGCUUGUUUAAUAGGUAUUUUUAUAUCUGGUUAUGAUGAAUUUGUACACAUAUUUUGUUGUAAAAAACUAAUUUUAUCUAC
rnacentral:sRNA from 1 species